rnacentral:rRNA from 1 species
CUGUAACAGAGGGAAGCGAAGCAGUGAUGUGGAGCAAAACCCAAAAAAGCAGUCUCAGUUCGGAUUGAAGGCUGAAAUUCGCCUUCAUGAAGCCGGAAUUGCUAGUAAUGGCAGGUCAGCAUACUGCCGUGAAUACGUUCCCGGGCCUUGUACACACCGCCCGUCACACCAUGAGAGUCGGGAACACCCGAAGUCCGUAGCCUAACCGCAAGGGGGCGCGGCCGAAGGUGGGUUCGAUAAUUGGGGUGAAGUCGUAACAAGGUACC